CCUACGGGCGGCUGCAGUGGGGAAUAUUGCACAAUGGGCGCAAGCCUGAUGCAGCCAUGCCGCGUGUGUGAAGAAGGCCUUCGGGUUGUAAAGCACUUUCAGCGGGGAGGAAGGCGGUGAGGUUAAUAACCUCAUCGAUUGACGUUACCCGCAAAAGAAGCACCGGCUAACUCCGUGCCAGCAGCCGCGGUAAUACGGAGGGUGCAAGCGUUAAUCGGAAUUACUGGGCGUAAAGCGCACGCAGGCGGUCUGUCAAGUCGGAUGUGAAAUCCCCGGGCUCAACCUGGGAACUGCAUUCGAAACUGGCAGGCUAGAGUCUUGUAGAGGGGGGUAGAAUUCCAGGUGUAGCGGUGAAAUGCGUAGAGAUCUGGAGGAAUACCGGUGGCGAAGGCGGCCCCCUGGAUAAAGACUGACGCUCAGGUGCGAAAGCGUGGGGAGCAAACAGGAUUAGAUACCCGAGUAGUC
rnacentral:rRNA from 1 species